rnacentral:rRNA from 1 species
GCUCCAAUAGCGUAUACUAAAGUUGUUGCAGUUAAAAAGCUCGUAGUUGAAUUUCUGGAUCCGGACUGUGGUCGGUCAUUAAUUUGAUUUGUACCUUUUGUUUGGAUCCAUCCUCGGAGAAACAAUGUCUGUCAUUUAGUUGUCGGAUAUGGGAUCUUCGUCAUUUACUGUGAGCAAAAUAGAGUGUUCAAAGCAGGCUU